GGGACCGUAGCUCAGUCCGGAUAGAGCGCUUCCCUGUCACGGAAGAGGUCGGGGGUUCGAGUCCCCUCGGUCCCGCCA
rnacentral:tRNA from 1 species